UCGAAUGCCGGUUUCAAAUUGGGAUACAUCGCUCCUGAAACUCAUGGUAAGUCUUUUGUUUGUGCAAUUAACGUUGAAGAUAUAAGUUCAGAGUUAGAUUACUAGAAGUCGGCAGUAGUUUGCUAUGUCAUUGGGGCACACAUCCCCCCCCCCCCCUUUGCUGUGCUAAGUGGAUACAUACCAGAGGUUAUGGGCAAAGCAUGGAAUCAACAAGAUUUCUAUGCUGAAGAAUGGAAUUGUAUUAAUUUGAUUUGAUUCAAAGGAGGGAAAAAAUGAAGCGAUACAAGAGGGAAUUUAUCAUUUCGACAACAAACCAUUUAUAGUUAAAUAUGGAAUCCGGAUAUGGAAUUUACAAGAAGAGAACUACUUACAGUUCCUAUAUGGAUCAAGCUACCCAGCCUCGAAUUCAAAUAUUGGAGUCCUAAAGGCUUAAGAAAAAUAGGCAGUCUAAUUGGGAAACCACUUUUUGUGGAUCAUAAUACUGAGAAAAAAAAUGGGGCUCAAUUUUGCUAGGUUUUUUAUAGAGGUAGAAAUGGAUGCUAAGCUUCCUAAUGUGAUAAUAUUUAGGAAUGAGAAGGGAGUACUAUUAGAACAAAAGAUCCAAUAUGAUUGAAAACCCACAUUAUGCAAUUUCUGUCGUAGGUAUGGGAACUCCAAAGAGGAAUGUAGGAAAAAGAAGGUUACCAAACCUGGAUCGCCCAAAACAAGGAGAGCAGGUGAGGAAGGAGAAACAAAAGGUGGAUAUUGAAGAAGCAGGGAAUCGGGAGAAGAUACAAUAUGUUAAAGUAGUAGCCAUGACUAAGAGAGGAAUGACACAUGCUGAAUCAUCUACCAACUUAGUGAAGACUCAAAUGUACAGAGUAGGCGACCAGUUGAUCGGAACACAGG
rnacentral:lncRNA from 1 species